GGCACCAAACUACAUUCCCUCAUAUACAAUGGUCCGCGGCAUUUAUCGGUAUGGAAGGCAGUCAAAUAGCUGGGGAAUCUUAUUCAGGACACAUUCUUCCUGCUCUACUCAUAACUUGGAAUACAUUUGCGAGUUCAUUGCUAUCAUCUCUACUUCUUCCUCUUCUUCUUCUCUCUCCUUUCUCCCUCUACCUUCUCCUUCCCGGGCUCAGACACAAACAAACAUACCAGACAAACGGAACAGCUGGUGUACUGCCGGAUGCGUUCUGUGAACUGGAGAAGGGAGAAAGUGUACUACUGGAGAAUACUGAAGAAACUAAAUCUGCUUUAUUUCUUCUCAUCAAUAAAUAUAUUCUUCUCAAGGGCGUACGUCUGCUCUGCAGUAUGAUGGCUGCCGCUGUCUUGCGACGUCAUCUCAUGGUUUGGAAGAUAUUUGCUCCUAAGUUCAUCUUCGAAGCUGUUGGGUUCGGUGUGAGCCUUCUUGGUCUGAUUCUAGGAUACCUUAUAUUCAUCCGAGUACUGUCCGUAGUUUCGGCCUGCUAUGCUAAGUUUAAAUUAUCCUGAUAAUUCGGGGUUUUUCAGGGUUGUAUAUAUUCCUUAGAAAUCAUAACCCCCCCCCCUUUUUAGAAAAUCAUUGAAGUUCGAUUUUUCAUUUUUCCCCCAAAUAAUCAAAAAUAGUUUUUUUUGAGGGUGUAAUUUUGAAAAAUAUUCACCUCUGGGUUUUUUUCAGCACUAGUCAACUAAUCUGGAGAAUCUGGAGUCCUACUUGCGUUAAUUCGAUCUCAAAGUUUUUUGCUUUUAAACUUUUUGUCUGUGAAACAUUAAGAUUUUGUCAGAUUUUUGUAGUUGUUAAACUGUACAAUCUCAUGAGAAUAUUUGUAGUUGUUAAACUGUACAAUCUCAUGAGAAUAUUUGUAGUUGUUAAACUGUACAAUCUCAUGAGAAUUUUUGUUGGGACAUACAGGGUGUCCCACAUCAAAUUAGACAGCGUCAAUUUGGGGGACAAAUCAGAAAAUUUAAGAAGAAUGAAUCAUUUUAAAAAUUUAAUAAGGCUAAUAGAAAAUUUUGUUGGCAGAACUUAAUAAUUUCAAUUGUAAGUUUCUUCAAUCUUCAAUUCUUUUUUGAUUAUCUUACACAGGCACUCAAGUACUCCUCUUUUCGUAUUUAUCAUAGCUUUUAAAAAUCAGUUUUUACAAUUCAUAAUUUUUUUUUUUUUUUUUUUCUUUUAACAUGUCCCAAAUAUUCUUUCAAAGGGGCCCUUCUCUGCUUGUACGUGUGAUAAAUGUGAUUGUGAGCUUAAACUAUAGUCUUGUUGUUUGUGAACGAAUUGUACCAGUUAUGAUAUAUUUAUGUCUAUGCACACUACAGUUGCAUUUUUGUGACAAAAGCCUUAAUCUAGACUAAACUAAAAUGUUGUUUUUUUAUUGUUAAUAUUAUGGAAACUUGUUCCAAGAUAUUUUGUUAUUCCCCUUAAACUUGUUUUCUAUACAUUCUACAGUAUAUAAUGGGGCGUUUUAAGUAAAAAGUAAAACUAUCUGUGCAGAAAAGAAAAAAUGCUCUUUGUAUUUUUUUGCGGAAAGUUUUGCAAUGCCUUAAUAAAUUGAUUUAAAGAAUUAUUUAUUUUUCUCGUUGCUCUUGAAUCUAGCCAAACUGCACUGAAUGAAAUACUCUUGAAGUCAAGUUUGACGAAUUUUCACUUAGAAAUAAAUCUUAUAAUUAAUGUUAACUUGUGAUUUACAGUUAAAAAAUUCUGUAUUUCCUUUUAAUCCCCUUGUGCAUGCUCUCACCGAAACGUUGACUUUUCAUAAAUUAAAUUCUAGAUUUUGAUCAUGAACCGUCGUAUCAGCUGUUCCUCUGUUAUGUUUGGUUUGGUUUAUUACAGCUGUUGUUAUGUUUGGUAUGGUUUCAGA